CCUACGGGAGGCAGCAGUGGGGAAUAUUGCGCAAUGGAGGAAACUCUGAUGCAGCGACGCCGCGCGAGUGAUGAAGGAUUUCGGUAUGUAAAGCUCUAUCAGCAGGGAAGAAAAUGACGGUGGUUGAUUAAGAAUAACCGGCUAACUACUUCGCAGCAGCAGCGGUAAUACGUAGGAGGAAGGCGUUAUCCGGCUUGACUGGGUGUAAAGGGGGCGUAGACGGCAGAACAAGUAUGGAGUGAAAUGCCGGGGCUUAACCCCGGAACUACUUUUGAAACUGUGCGGCUAGAGUGCAGGAGAGGCAAGCGGAAUUCCUAGUGUAGCGGUGAAAUGCGUAGAUAUUAGGAGGAACACCAGUGGCGAAGGCGGGUUACUGGACUGUAACUGACGUUGAGGCUCGAAAGCGUGGGGAGCAAACAGGAUUAGAUACCCGAGUAGUC
rnacentral:rRNA from 1 species